UGGGGGAUAUUGCACAAUGGGCGAAAGCCUGAUGCAGCGACGCCGCGUGGGGGAUGAAGGCUUUCGGGUUGUAAACCUCUUUCGCUAUCGAACAAGGCCCGCUUAGGGUGGGUUGAGGGUAGGUGGAGAAGAAGCGCCGGCUAACUACGUGCCAGCAGCCGCGGUAAUACGUAGGGCGCGAGCGUUGUCCGGCAUUAUUGGGGGUAAAGGGUGCGCAGACGGCUUUACAAGUUGGAUGUGAAAUAUUGUGGCUCAACCACAAACGUGCAUCCAAAACAGCAAAGCUUGAGUUAAGGGGAGGUAAGGGGAAUUCCGGGUGUAGCGGUGGAAUGCGUAGAUAUAAGGAGGAAUACCGGUGGCGAAGGCGACUUACUAGACAUAAACUGACGCUCAGGCACGAAAGCGUGGGGAGCGAACAGG
rnacentral:rRNA from 1 species